UCGGGAAUAUUGCGCAAUGGAGGAAACUCUGACGCAGUGACGCCGCGUAUAGGAAGAAGGUUUUCGGAUUGUAAACUAUUGUCGUUAGGGAAGGGAAAGGACAGUACCUAAGGAGGAAGCUCCGGCUAACUACGUGCCAGCAGCCGCGGUAAUACGUAGGGAGCGAGCGUUAUCCGGAAUUAUUGGGUGUAAAGGGUGCGUAGACGGGAGAACAAGUUAGUUGUGAAAUACCUCGGCUCAACUGAGGAACUGCAACUAAAACUGUACUUCUUGAGUGCAGGAGAGGUAAGUGGAAUUCCUAGUGUAGCGGUGAAAUGCGUAGAUAUUAGGAGGAACACCAGUGGCGAAGGCGACUUACUGGACUGUAACUGACGUUGAGGCACGAAAGUGUGGGGAGCAAACAGGAUUAGAUACCC
rnacentral:rRNA from 1 species